GGUCUCCUUGUGCUUGCCAUCGCCUGCAUGCCCGCUGGCUGUCUCAAAAAAGGAGGCACAGUAAACCCAGCCCACGGGCCCCUCAGCCCAGGCCCUUUGCCUGGUCUGUAUCAUGAAUGGAGAGACGUGG
ensembl:snoRNA